UACGUAGGGUGCAAGCGUUAAUCGGAAUUACUGGGCGUAAAGCGUGCGCAGGCGGUUUUGUAAGUCUGUCGUGAAAGCCCCGGGCUCAACCUGGGAAUUGCGAUGGAGACUGCAAGGCUUGAAUCUGGCAGAGGGGGGUAGAAUUCCACGUGUAGCAGUGAAAUGCGUAGAGAUGUGGAGGAACACCGAUGGCGAAGGCAGCCCCCUGGGUCAAGAUUGACGCUCAUGUACGAAAGCGUGGGGAGCGAACAGG
rnacentral:rRNA from 1 species